CAACCCUCAAGUCCCCUGUGGACUCGGUGUUGGGGACCGGCGAGACAGCCGCGGAUCUUCUUCCGCGGCGAGACAGCCGCGGAUCUUCUUCCGCGGCGAGUCGCCGCCCCCUAAAUGACUUGGCGGCCUCGUCGCGGCCCUCCUCUGCGUAGUAUAGCACACCUCGCAACAGGAGCCCGGCGAAUGGCCACUGCCGUAAAACCCCCCAACUUUUUCAG
rnacentral:misc_RNA from 1 species